AAAAAAAGGACAGGAAUGACCUUGAACUCACUAUAAUCCUCCUGCCUCAGUUUCUCAACUGCUGGGAUUACAGAAGUACAGAAGUGCACCACCACAAUAAUCAUUUUUUUUUUCCUUUUUCUGGAGACAAGGACUGUAGAUGACCCUGAACUUCUGAUUCCUUACUUCCAGCUCCCCAGUACUUAGCACACGCAGGGGAUCCCAGGGCUGUGUGCAUGCCCGCUGUGUGCAAACGCUCUACCCACUGAUCACAUUGCUAGCCCUCCUGUAGCCAUUUGUCACUUUGCAGCUGAGGAAUAAUUGGGGACGAAUGGACAGGCUGACAGAAGGCAGAGGACUGAAUGGCCUCAGUCCUAGGCCUGGACAGCUGACCAGGUCAGGAAGGAAGCCGGAAGCCCGAGCAACCAUGUGUCCAGGUCCAGCUCUGGCCUCUGCCUGCCCACACAUCCUCAGGGCUGAGCUGGUCACUGGGGCUGAUUGAAAAGGCAAGAUGAUCCUGGGAAGCCUUUAAAGUGUGGGAAGCAAGCAGAUGACAUAGCUCCACUCGGUGCUGUCCUGGAUGGCCCCUUAGUUGUCAGCUUCUAACCCUGGCCUCCCGAAUGCUCCCUGAAAGCACCAAACACAUUCCAGCCCCAGGGCCUUUGCACUUGCUGUUUUUGUUGGCUGGAAGCUUUUCCUGUCCCUCGGGUGUCUACAGGGCUCCCUCCUCCUCCCCACUCCCUUCAGGAUUCUGCUCAAUGGUCGACUUGAGCCCCUUUCACUCACCAUGAGAGGCACCUGCCCCUCCUCCUUCAAUUCUCACCACUCUGUACGAGGUAAGAACAUUCUCUUUGGCUUCCAGGCUGUCACCAGGACUUGUAUGCCUUUAAAGCUGUAGUCGUGCCUUCACCUGCAGCUGGGUGGAGUGACAGCCAGGUGGGGAGGACACACACCUUUAAUCCCAGUGCUUGGAAGGCAGCGAGAAUGAAUUGUAUGAGUUUGAGGCUAACCUGGGCUACAGUAUCAAGUUCUAGGACAGUGAAGGCUACAAUGGAGAAACCCUGUCUCAAAAACAAAAACCUAAAAACAGAAGUGAAAAAGUUUGAGAAUACCUGGUCUGCAAGAGAUACUUUAUCUAAAAAACAAAAACAAAACAACAACAACAAAACCCAAAAGAGUAAAUGAUGAUGAUGAUGAUGAUGAUGAUAAUAACUACUUGGUAAAGCCAGGUGGGGUGGCCCAGCACCUGAGAGGCAGAAAAAGAUGAAUUUCUCUGAAUUCCUGGUCAGCUAGGGCUACAUAAAGAGAUCCUAUCUAAAAAACAAACAAAAACAAACUCUAGUCUGUGGAACAUAGUAGAUGCUCAAUAAAAUUUUUUCAAUUAAGUAGGACAACAGAGUAGAAAACAAUGGAAGAUGCUAGAACAGACCAGAGACCACAGUGAAAGAGGAAAACACGGUGGGUGGAUGUGACACACUGUGAGGGUCCAAGCACUUCACCACUUCUGUCAGGACCUUCCCAGUGCUACCUCAGCCCAGGAGGGUAUCACAAGGCUGGUGGCAAGCCUGGGGGUCUUCUCUGGACUUUUCCCUGCAGGCUGCCUGCCCUGAGUCCAGGGCUCUUCUGCCCUUUCUGCCCAGCUCUCGUCUCCCUGGCAGGUCAGAGGUGGUUUCCGGUCUGGACGUGAAGAGGCAGUGAUUGUCUCCGAUGAGGGCAAGUCCUGGUGAGUCACUGGCUGAGCGCUGACCAGUAUUCCAUAGGCAUCAUGGGGGGGUGGGGGGGAUAUCCAUCACAGGAGACAGAUCAUAUGUCUCUGUGUGUAUCUGUGUACAUGACUGUGCGUGUGUGUCUGUGUGUGUCUCUGUGUCUGUGUCUGUGUGUCUCCGUGUCUGUGUGUGUCUCCGUGUCUGUGUCUGUGUGUGUCUCCGUGACUGUGUCUGUGUGUGUCUCUGUGUCUGUGUGUGUCUGCAUCUGUGUGUCUCUAGGAGUGUCUGUGUCUGCAUCUGUGAGAGACAGACCCCCUGCGCUUGGCCCUGACCAUCCUUGGAGGCUGAGAAAGAUGGAAGCCCCAUCUGCCUUCAGGUCUGGGCACCAUGGUGUAUCGUCCCCCGAGUCUAAGGAAAUCUAACCAGGUCUUAAUACCUCCAAGGCCCCUCUACUCAGGACCCCCAGGGCUCCCUGACCUGUCAGAUCAAGACUCAAAUCCGGCUCAAUCCACCUGCACCAUUGCUGACCUCAUUGCCUCCCCCCACCCCCAGCUCCAGACAUACUGGCUUCAGCUGCCCCCAUAUCAUGCCAGCUGUAAUCCUGCCCCAGGACCUUUGCACUGGUCACCCACGCUGCCGUCAUUUUCUCUGCUGACCCUGUCACGGUCAGCCUGCUCUAAAGCAUCAGCUCCGGGGAGCAGGUGGGCAGUCCACUCUGUUCUCUCUAUCCUGCGUGUCCAGGGCAGAGCCUGACCACUGUGCAUUCUCAGAACCAUCCAGGCAGACUAAUGAGAAGCUAGAGAAGCUGGAAGCAAAUGAACGGACUAGGAAGGUUACACUUUAAAAGCCAGGUGAUGAGGACACAGGACACGGCUCUGCGACAACAGUAAGCCAGCCCCUUCAGGAUGGUCCAGAGACUACAGGUGGAAAGGGACUGAGAUGCACCAGUAACAACAACAACGACGACCAGAACCACAACAACAACACCUAAUGGUGUGGCAUCAUUUUUGUUCUGAGCCACAUUCAGUUGCUUCUUAGCUGUGCACAUCUUGGCAAGUGUCUCUACCUCUCUGGGCACCACUUCCAGGUUGCUUUGUACUUGCCUGGCACAUAAAAGAUGCUCAGAGCCAUCCCUGUGGUCCUCCCUGAGCCCUAGAUAUGCCAGGCCUCAACCAUGUACUAGGCUUGGGGACUCCACCCAGUACCCACACUGUGCCUUGCCUGUGGAACAUCAGUGGUCAUGCUGUCCCUCCCAUAGUUCCAACAUGGGAGUCCACUUGUGAUGAGGUCACAGUUAGUAUUUCUGACUGAAGCACACGGUGGUUCUGGGGACCUUGCAGGCUUUCAAUGACCGGGGAGUCCAGAUGGUUUGAGAAAACCAUCACCUGCUUCAGAUCCAGAACCUUCAGCUGCAGCUGGGUAUGGAAUUUCUAAGUGGUCAAAUUCUGGGUCUGACUCAAACAUGCAUUGAUUGACCAGUGGGCAAGCCAAGUGUGGUUUAUCUGUAAGAUGACACAUUCAUCGAUUAAAAACAGCUGAGCUACUCGCACAUGGAAAGAAGCGCUCAUUCGCCCGGAGCGCCUGGCCAUCACCGAGGGAGUGAGCAGCACCUGGCCGCAGGGUUAGUGCAUGAGGCACAUCUGGAGGUGAAACGCUUCCUAGUCACCCUCCAUGGCGCUGCGCUGGCUCAGCGGCUGUGUACCCAGCACCACACGGAGUCGAUGACAUUCCCCAUGGCCACCAGAUGACUAGGGACUCUGGUGUCAUGUGGCUGUGAGUGACAAGAGAAACACAAGCUGGCUCAGCCAGGGCCACCAGGCAAUGCUCUGGAGAAGAUGGGACACAGCUCAAAACAAGCCGAAUGGCUCUAUUUGGAACUCGUUCAUCCCUGUUGAUGUCCAUCAUGUCUGCUCACCUCACGCCAUCAUUUGUCCCCUAGUCUGCACAAGUCCUCCCCCACCCCUAUCCUGGCCACACCUAGCACACACAGAUGGCUUUGCUGCAGGGCCUUUGUACUUGCUAUUGUGUGCUAGGCCCAUGUCCUCUGAACUGGCUCCUUCUUGCUCUUUGUAUCUCUGUUCAAGGAACUCCUCCUAGCUUCCCUGUCCCAAGGGAUCUUUAUGUUCCCUGUUGUUAUCCCCUCCCCCCCCUAAGACUUUUCACCCAAAAUUACCUUUGACCUGUGUCUAUUUUCUGCCCUCCUGUCCCAUGAGAUUGUCAGUUUCCAGAGAGCCAGGCCGCCAGGCUGCCUCCUUACCAAUACCUAGUACCCUGCACACAGUAGGUGCUCAUCUGUGUACAGUCAGACACAAAUUAAUAAAUGUGUGCACAAAUGAG